UUCAAAUUUUAAUUCCAAUUAAAUCUGCAUGUAAUUUGAAUUUUAAAUAUGCACAAUCUUAUCAAGCAUUCAAUCCAUCUCUCACAUAAUGAACUUUCGAUUUUCUUCUUACCAUAACCGUCUUUCUUUCUCUAUCUUCUCUCAUGUCUUUCUCUCCUAGAUCUAUAUAUCUCUCUGCAUCAUUUUUUUCUUUUAUGUUUGUUCUCUCUGUCUUCUCUUUGUCAAGCGGAGAGUUCUUGAUGGUAUUAUGGCACGGUAUUUGUUGCAGGGAAGCAGAGGAAAAAAGUAGAGACACGAUAGGGAGGAGCGAGAGAUGCAUACUGGCGUCGACAACAAUGGGAUGAUUCCGAUGGAGAUAGACGGCACGGAAGAGAAGUCACAGUUGUAGCGCCGAAAGCGGCCAGCAACGGUCUUGGGGCGAUAAUUCUGUAUGCUCUGCUUAUAGUCUUCUUUGUUUGGUGUGGAGUUGUUGAUGCAGAAAAUCCAGAACCUCAUUGUUGUUGCUGGGAUUCUAUUUGCAUUUCGCUAAAAGAGUAAUUUAGGAACUAAGACAAAAGAAGUUCUUGCUGUGUAGCUACUGUGGAAGGUUUGCAUCCACUCUAUUGUGUUUUUAUUAGCUAUUUUUUUUGUUUAAUUACUUAAAUUUGUUGUUUGCUUUUGCUUAUUGUUAUUCUUCUGCUUAUUAUUACCUUAUCUCUUCUCCUUCCUCUCAAGCUUGGCUAUGUUCUUUACUUUUCAAGGUGGUAGUUUCAAUUUUUUAUUUUUGAGUCUUUUUCCUUCUAAAACUGGGUUAAUUUCUUUUCCCCCCACGAACCAUUUGAAAAAUGUGGAACAAAUUAUGGGAUACCACCAAGAUUUAAGCUGUUGCUUUCAAAGUACUUUCAGUUUUCAAGGUAGUUCGUAAUUAUGUACAUUUUACCUGUUUAAUUCUUUUUUGAAUUGUCUUUACAUUUGGUUUUCAGGGUUUAGGAUUUUGUCCCAGAGUAAUUGAUGGGAUCAUCGGUAUAUUUGCUAUUCAAGUGUGUUUAAUUAACUGCUCUAUUUAAAAUUUUUGUUUUCUGCCUUUGAAUUAGAUUCUGCAUUGAUUUUUUGCUUUUCUCAUUUACUGAUGUCACUAUUAAGGGUAGAAAAUAGAAGAGGAUAAUAAUGAUCAUGCUUAGUAAAAUGUAUAAUAGUGAUUAUAAUUAUAAUUACCGAGAGUGCCAAUACCGAAUUAGUACUUAGUACAUGGCACUACUAGCCUCUAUCAAGUAUAAGAGCAAUUUUGCUGGCGUUGAUUUCAUGUUUAAUAUGACUUUUAGAGGGUGCCAGGUUUUCCUUCCUCUUAGAUAAAGGAACUAAUUAGCUUUAGGGCAAUUUGUACCCUAUGAAACUUUGAAAGUUUUAUACUUAUGUUAACUUUACUACAAGAUUCGUUCUUCUUUCUAUGCUUAAUAUUGCGUGCAUCUUAUUUUGAAUUAAUAUUGUUACCAUAGAAUAUAAAAUAGAGAGAAAUCUAUUAACAGAAUACAACUUGAGCAGUCAAUUUCCGUGAUGUUCAUUUGGACUCAGCGUUUAAACGUUUUAACCAGUAUGUGCUAUUAUUGGGAGAAUCCUUGGGCAGGUAUAUUAUUCAACCAUAUUUCUUUCAUGUUUCAUAAUAUCUAUAACGGACUAAUUUGAGUAUUCUUACAAUAUCAAGGCAAUAUUUGGGAAAGG